GUUUACUAAGUGGUAGGAGAGCGUUCUAUUUGCGUCGAAGGUAUACCGGUAAGGAGUGCUGGAGCGAAUAGAAGUGAGCAUGCAGGCAUGAGUAGCGAUAAUUAAUGUGAGAAUCAUUAACGCCGUAAACCCAAGGUUUCCUACGCGAUGCUCGUCAUCGUAGGGUUAGUCGGGUCCUAAGUCGAGUCCGAAAGGGGUAGACGAUGGCAAAUUGGUUAAUAUUCCAAUACCAACAUUAGUGUGCGAUGGAAGGACGCUUAGGGCUAAGGGGGCUAGCGGAUGGAAGUGCUAGUCUAAGGUCGUAGGAGGUUGUACAGGCAAAUCCGUAUAACAAUACUCCGAGAACUGAAAGGCUUUUUGAAGUCUUCGGAUGGAUAGAAGAACCCCUGAUGCCGUCGAGCCAAGAAAAGUUUCUAAGUUUAGCUAAUGUUGCCCGUACCGUAAACCGACACAGGUGGGUGGGAUGAGUAUUCUAAGGCGCGUGGAAGAACUCUCUUUAAGGAACUCUGCAAAAUAGCACCGUAUCUUCGGUAUAAGGUGUGGUUAGCUUUGUAUUAGGAUUUACUCCGAAAGCAAGGAAACUUACAACAAAGAGUCCCUCCCGACUGUUUACCAAAAACACAGCACUCUGCUAACUCGUAAGAGGAUGUAUAGGGUGUGACGCCUGCCCGGUGCUCGAAGGUUAAUUGAUGGGGUUAGCAUUAGCGAAGCUCUUGAUCGAAGCCCGAGUAAACGGCGGCCGUAACUAUAACGGUCCUAAGGUAGCGAAAUUCCUUGUCGGUUAAAUACCGACCUGCAUGAAUGGCGUAACGAGAUGGGAGCUGUCUCAAAGAGGGAUCCAGUGAAAUUGUAGUGGAGGUGAAAAUUCCUCCUACCCGCGGCAAGACGGAAAGACCCCGUGGACCUUUACUACAGCUUGACACUGCUACUUGGAUAAGAAUGUGCAGGAUAGGUGGGAGGCUUUGAGUAUAUGACGCCAGUUGUAUAUGAGCCAUUGUUGAGAUACCACUCUUUCUUAUUUGGGUAGCUAACCAGCUUGAGUUAUCCUCAAGUGGGACAAUGUCUGGUGGGUAGUUUGACUGGGGCGGUCGCCUCCCAAAUAAUAACGGAGGCUUACAAAGGUUGGCUCAGAACGGUUGGAAAUCGUUCGUAGAGUAUAAAGGUAUAAGCCAGCUUAACUGCAAGACAUACAAGUCAAGCAGAGACGAAAGUCGGUCUUAGUGAUCCGGUGGUUCUGUGUGGAAGGGCCAUCGCUCAAAGGAUAAAAGGUACCCCGGGGAUAACAGGCUGAUCUCCCCCAAGAGCUCACAUCGACGGGGAGGUUUGGCACCUCGAUGUCGGCUCAUCGCAUCCUGGGGCUGGAGCAGGUCCCAAGGGUAUGGCUGUUCGCCAUUUAAAGCGGUACGCGAGCUGGGUUCAGAACGUCGUGAGACAGUUCGGUCCCUAUCUGCCGUGGGCGUAAGAAGAUUGAAGAGAUUUGACCCUAGUACGAGAGGACCGGGUUGAACAAACCACUGGUGUAGCUGUUGUUCUGCCAAGAGCAUCGCAGCGUAGCUAAGUUUGGAAAGGAUAAACGCUGAAAGCAUCUAAGCGUGAAGCCAACUCUAAGAUGAAUCUUCUCUAAGCUCUCUAGAAGACUACUAGUUUGAUAGGCUGGGUGUGUAAUGGAUGAAAGUCCUUUAGCUGACCAGUACUAAUAGAGCGUUUGGCUUAUCUUUAAUAAAGCAU
rnacentral:rRNA from 1 species